GGAAGGGCUGUGAUCUUGGGGGUCUGGGGAAGGAGGAGCCCUGUGAUGCGCUCGGAGGACUCCCAGUGAAGCAGGGCGACGCUCUUGAGAGUGGGCGACCUAAAGGCUCUGAGGAUGAGCGGCACCCGUGAGGGGUUCAGAGGACUCCCAGUGAGGGAAGGGGGCUGGAGGAUCCUCUGAGGGGGGACCCCCGUGUGGUGGAAGCUUACCCAGAGCACAAAUCCCGUCACAAACAUCCCGUGUUGCCCUUCAUUCUUACACCGGGGCAAGUUCCAAAUCUCUUCAGUAAACGCAAAAACCACCUCGGAGUCUGCAUUGAAUGGGAGCUACUACGGUGAAUUGCAGGAAGAAACAUUGUUUUUGGGGCCGAGAAGCCUUGUUUAUCUCAUUUCACUCAAUAUCCCACUUCAGUGAGCGUGAUUUAUUGAUUUCAUCCCAGUUCAAACUUAAGUAAAGGAACAGUGAUGGAUACCAAUAGAAAUAACUUAAUUCUUAUUAAAUUUUAAAUGAACCACCAUG